rnacentral:rRNA from 1 species
AUGAAAGCAGGUUACCAACGCAGAGUGUGGAUGCCUUGACUUAUGCAAGCGACGAAGGACGUAGGAGGCUGCGAAAAGCCCCGGGGAGCUGUCAACCAAGCUGUGAUCCGAGGAUAUCCGAAUGGGGCAACCCUCUGGUAGCAAUACCGGAACGAUAGUCUGAAUACAUAGGGCUACCGAGCAAACCCAGUGAAUUGAAACAUCUUAGUAGCUGGAGGAAAAGAAAUUAAUAAAGAUUCCGUCAGUAGUGGCGAGCGAACGCGGAAGAGCCUAAACCACCAUGUUUACAUGAGUGGGGUUGCAGGGCUGAUGGACUCGAUUGAUCGGGGUCCAGUACAAUCGUUAGGAGAAGGUUCUGGAAAGGACCACCACAGGGGGUAAUAGUCCCGUAUCCGAAAACGAUUUGUACUUGAUGCAUCAGUUCCUAAGUAGGGCGGGGCCGGAGAAACCCCGUUUGAAUCUGGGAGCACUAACUUCCAAGGCUAAACAUUGCAUAAGAUCGAUAGCGAACUAGUACCGUGAGGGAAAGGUGAAAAGCAUCCCGAAAGGGAGGUGAAAUAGAACUGAAACUCUCUGCUAACAAAGAGUCGGAGCCGUGCCUCAAUUCUGUUGAGUACGGAAUGACCCGCGUAACCGCUGACCAAACAACACUCAGUUUCAAUGACUGAAACUUCAUGCAUUUCAUUGAGGAAAAAACGGCGCGUGUAUAGCUCAGUUGGUAGAGCGCUUCCUUGCCAAGGAAGAGGUCACGAGUUCGAGACUCGUUACGCGCUCCACUCUCCCUAGCUAGAGUGGUUAUUCCUCGAACGGUGAAGGUACAAUGUAUCCUCGCCUCCUCAAUGAAGUGCAUGAAUACUUUCGGAAUUUGAAAUUGAUUGUUUGUAUUCUUUUGGCGGAUAGGUGGCAUUCUGUAGUGGAUAGAAUUGAGGUACGGUGACGGCGUGCUUUUUGCAGCACGAUCCAACGAGUUUGUUCUGUACGGUUUGUCUAAGGGAUGACGAGUUCCGGAGACAUAGUGAAAGCGAGCCUGAAUAGGGCGAAAUUAUAAUCGUAUGGACAAGACCCGAAGCCGGGCGAGCUACACUUGAGCAGGGUGAAGCGUGGGUAAAACCACGUGGAGGCCCGAACCCACUCGCUGUGCAACACGAGGGGAUGACUUGAGUGUAGGGGAGAAAUUCCAAUCGAGCUCGGCAAUAGCUGGUUCUCUCCGAAAUAGCUUGAGGGCUAGCGUCCUGUGUAUAUUUAUCCGAGGGGUAGAGCUACUGGAUGAGACUCCGCGCGCAAGCGUAGGUGUCUCAACCAAACUCCGAAUACUCGAGAUAACGAACAGGGCAGUCAGUACUACGGGGCUAAGCUCGUAGCACAAAAGGGAAACAGCCCAGAUCGUCAGCUAAGGUCCCUAAAUCUAUGCUAAGUGGGAAAGGAAGUGGAAACUCUCAGACACUGAGGAGGUUGGCUUAGAAGCAGCCAUCCUUUAAAGAGUGCGUAAUAGCUCACUCAUCUAGAGAUUCUGCGCCGACAAUGUAACGGGGCUAAGCAUAGUACCGAAGCUACGGAUUUCGUCGCAAGACGGAGUGGUAGGAGAGCGUCCCAUGUGCACCGAAGCGGAAGGGCGACUGACCGUGGAGCGCAUGGAAGUGAGAAUGUUGGAAUGAGUAACCGCAAUGUGAGUGAGAUCCUCACACAUCGAAAGUCCGAGGUUUCCUGGGCCAUGGUGAUCACCCCAGGGUUAGUCGGUCCUAAGGCGAGGCUGAAAGGCGUAGUCGAUGGACAUCAGGUUAAUAUUCCUGAACUAGGGUUUUAUUCGAAGGAGUGACGCAUCGUUGUAUCGUUCGCCCCUUAUUGGAUUGGGGUCGUGUUUCUGAGGAUGUCAUGUAGGCAAAUCCGCAUGGCGCGUAUCCGAUGGAAAUGGGCGUGGUCCCGCUUCGGCGGGACGAAGGGAAGAGAGCACGGUGCCAGGAAAAGCUUCUUAGUUAUGUAAAACUCUAUCCGUACCGCAAACCGACACAGGUGGACAGGGCGAGUAGCCUAAGAUGAACGGGAGAGCAUUCGUUAAGGAACUAGGCAAAAAAGCUAGACGUAAGUUCGCAAUAUGUCUUCCCGGCUUUACAUUCAGUUCUUCAGAAUCAUUGAAGAAGAUGAGUCAAUCGGGGAAGUCAAGGAGAAAUAGGAAUUUUUGGAACGAAGGUGGAACAUGUGGUGUUGUAUGGCUGUCGUCAGCUCCGUGUCGUGAGAUGCUGGAGAGCGAGCGCAACCCCUUUGCUAGCUGCUCUUCUGCAAUUCGAGAAGCGCGCAGCUGGGACUGCCGGUGACAAACCGGAGGAAGGUGGGGAUGACGAUCCAGUCCUCGUAGCCCAUGAAGUGGCCCGGCGAACGCCGCGCCAGUAACCACAGCCGUGGCCAGCAGCCGCGGUAAUCACGGUAUUCGUUUCCAAUUGGAUCAGGCGGAGAGCGCUCCAAGGCAGGGAUUAGAUACCCCGUGCACGCGCUCACGCCCUCCGUAAUUCCUACGUUUCUUUUUCCUUGGUCUUCCCCGACCAAUUUCUUCUUCGUGAGGACUGAAGGUUUGAAUGUAAAGUCGGGCGCAGCGAAAGUUUUUCAAGCAACUGUUUACCAAAAACACAACUCUCUGCAAACCCGCAAGGGGAAGUAUAGGGGGUGACACCUGACCAGUGCUGGAACGUUAACGGGAGCGGUUCACGCCAAUCCCCGAAGCGCCAGUGAACGUCGGCGAUAACUAUAAUCGUCCUAAGGUAGCGAAAUUCCUUGUCAGGUAAGUUCUGACCCGCAUGAAAGGUGUAAUGACUUGAAAACUGUCUCAACGAACAUCCCGGUGAAAUUGCAAUGACGGUAAAGAUGCCGUCGACCUGCAGCAAGACGAAAAGACCCCAUGGAGCUUUACUACAACUUGGUAUUGACUUAGAGUUUUUGUUGCCGAGCAUAGGUGGGAGACGUUGAAGCGCGGGUUCAGGCCUGCGUGGAGUCAACACUGGAAUACCACCCUGCAAGAAUUCUAAUUCUAACCUGCCACCAUAAUCUGGUGGGGGGACAGUGCCUGGCGGGUAGUUUGACUGGGGCGGUCGCCUCCUAAAAAGCAACGGAGGCGUUUACAAAGGUAGGCUAGGCCCGGAUGGAAAUCGGGCCGAUAGCGCAAACGCACAAGCCUGCUUUACUGAAAGACUCAUCAGUCGAUCAGUCACGAAAGUGGAAGUUAGUGAACCGACCAUCACUCGUAGGAGUGUGGAAGAUCAUCAGAUAAAAGUUACCCUGGGGAUAACAGGCUGAUCCUAUCCAAGAGUCCAUAUCGACGAUAGGGUUUGGCACCUCGAUGUCGGCUCAUCGCAUCCUGGGGGUGGAGAAGCUCCCAAGGGUUUGGCUGUUCGCCAAUUAAAGCGGUACGUGAGCUGGGUUCAAACCGUGAAGCAGCGAAGCUGCUUGACUGAGUAACCAACAAUAAACAACCUACAACAGAAUUGGAAUGCAUUUUUGUUGUGAGUAGAAAGUUGUCGGUUGUCGGUUAAAGCAUUUAGCUUUUUCACAGUUUGAAUCCGAGGUAGAAGACAUCAAAGGUAUUUUCGUCUUUGAAACAACGAUAAGAAAUCAAUCGCAUCACGGCGGUCCUUUCUUUCACUUUACGGUGGAAAAAAGGAACAAGCUGACUCAUUUCGGUGGAGUCCGACAUCUAUCAAAGGUUGUCUGGAUAAUACCGAGGGAAGUAAAAGUUGUGAGUUUCGUAGAGAGUAAUCUCAAUGAAUUAAGGUAACGUUCGACUGACGUCAUGUGCACCAUGAGCGUUAGUGUCUCGUAAGAGACUAGGACACAUCAAGUCUGUUGUCGGUUAAGUCGUAAAGACUGCGCGCAGCGCCGACAGUAAGUUGAUGGACGCAGGGGAAGAUCCUGUUGCCUUAAUGAGAUAAAGUUAUGAACCUGAACCGGGUUCAUGCUUUCUACGAAAUUCAUGAUGAGUAACACCCGUAGAGACUAAACGUCAGCAUGGAUAGUGGUGAUGAUGAAGGGUUUGGAAAUUCAUCUAAUUUCUAACAUCUAACAUCUAUCAUCUCUCCAUAAGCUAUAGUCCAAUGCAUCGAGCAAUCGGUGGUACCAUGCGUGAGACAGGUUGGUUUCCUAUCUGCUGUAGGCGUUAAGUGACUUGAGAGAACUCUUUCCUAGUACGAGAGGACCGGAAAGAACGAACCUCUGGUGUGCCUGCUGUCCUGCCAAGGGCACCGCAGGGUAGCUAUGUUCGGGCAGGAUAACCGCUGAAAGCAUCUAAGCGGGAAGCCGAGCUCAAGAUAAGGUCACGUCCCUCACCAAUUUUGUGCAGCGCAAGGCGCAAACAAAAACCUCGUUUAAAUCUAUUGAGAUGACCGUCUCAAUAACUGGACGAGAAGUGCAUAACGGAAAAGUUAUGGCGCAAAAUUGGUGAGGGAGGAAGUCCUGGAAGAUGACCAGGUUGAUAGGUUGCAGGUGUACGCCCUGUGAGGGGUUCAGCCGAGCAAUACUAAUACGAUUCCAUACCACUUUCAUUU